GACGAACGCUGGCGGCGUGCUUAACACAUGCAAGUCGAACGGAAAGGCCCUGCUUUUGUGGGGUGCUCGAGUGGCGAACGGGUGAGUAACACGUGAGUAACCUGCCCUUGACUUUGGGAUAACUUCAGGAAACUGGGGCUAAUACCUGAUAGGAGCUCCUGCUGCAGGGUGGGGGUUGGAAAGUUUGGGCGGGUGGGGAUGGACUCGCGGCUAAUGAGCUUGUUGGUGGGGUAGUGGCUUACCAAGGCUUUGAUGGGUAGUCGGCCUGAGAGGGUGACCGGCCACAUUGGGACUGAGGUACGGCCCAGACUCGUACGGGAGGCAGCAGUGGGGAAUAUUGCACAAUGGGCGGAAGCCUGAUGCAGCGACGCCGCGUGCGGGAUGACGGCCUUCGGGUUGUAAACCGCUUUCGCCUGUGACGGAGCGUGAGUGACGGUAAUGGGUAAAGAAGCACCGGCUAACUACGUG
rnacentral:rRNA from 1 species